CUUUGACGUUUUUGUUCUCAUAGGUUAUCGUCAGCACACAACUACCGAUCUUCCGAAUGCCGAUGGCGAGGCCGACAACUGCUUUUGACAGCCGCCAUUAACGCCGCCAUCCGAGCCAUAUAUUUCGAUCAUUGUCUUGUUCUUAUGUCUCACUUCCCACCGUUAAAUACGAAGUCAGACUUUGUUGUGUCACGGUAGAGUUCGACGAGGAGAAGAGGCAACAGCUACAAGCGGAGAAGAGAGUGACAUCUAUUUUUAAAGUUAGAAA
rnacentral:lncRNA from 1 species